rnacentral:rRNA from 1 species
GGGGGGCUUACCAUGCAAGUCGAGCGAGAAAACUCCUUCGGGAGUGGAUUAGCGGCGGACGGGUGAGUAACACGUGGGUAACCUGCCCUAAAGAGGGGAAUAGCCCUCCGAAAGGAGGAUUAAUACCGCAUAAAGUUAGAAAGUCGCAUGGCUUUUUAAUGAAAGGAGUAAUCUGCUUUAGGAUGGACCCGCGGCGCAUUAGCUAGUUGGUGAGGUAACGGCUCACCAAGGCAACGAUGCGUAGCCGACCUGAGAGGGUGAUCGGCCACAUUGGGACUGAGACACGGCCCAGACUCCUACGGGAGGCAGCAGUGGGGAAUAUUGCGCAAUGGGGGAAACCCUGACGCAGCAACGCCGCGUGAGUGAUGAAGGCCUUCGGGUUGUAAAGCUCUGUCUUCUAGGACGAUAAUGACGGUACUAGAGGAGGAAGCCACGGCUAACUACGUGCCAGCAGCCGCGGUAAUACGUAGGUGGCGAGCGUUGUCCGGAUUUACUGGGCGUAAAGGGUGCGUAGGCG